AUGUGCAUGCCUACAGAGUUAAUGCAUCAAAUCCCAUUAGAAAUCCAUAGUUAAGUGUGCUUGGGAUAGAGUAGUAUUAGGAUGGGUGACCUCCUGAGAAGUCCUAUUGUUUUGCAUGCC
rfam:Picea glauca, whole genome shotgun sequence.